ensembl:lncRNA
AUAUUCAGAUUACUGCUUAAUCAGGAUGGAUUUAUUAAUGACUGAUUCUUUAAAGUUGACAUUUGACCUCUACCCAAAAUUUGAAUAACUGAUUUCCUCCAUGUUGUUUAUCACAUUUCAGAGGGUGAAUGAAGCGAUGCCCAAGUUGCGUGUGGCGAGAGACGUGACACAAGAUUGCAGCUGUCCUCCAGGUUUGAGAGAACUGAGGAAGAAACACACGCUACUUUCCCCAGUGUACCUUCAACCAUCAUGAGUGUCUGGAUUCAUUUCAGCCUCUGGUCUGGUCUUGUAUAUCGGACUGUCACUGCAAAUCAUCCUUUUCUCUAGUGAAGCACAUGAUGGGAAUUGUUCGGCACUUUUGUUUGCAUCUCCACACUAACAAUAGAGUUACAUCUGCCUGCAGAGUGUUUUCAAGUUUUAAGGCUCAAAAUACAUUUUGAUGAAAAGAUAAUGCAUUAUUGAAAACACUGUGAUUGUAUUGGCCUCGUUGGCAGUAUGUGAGUUAAUCAGUUCUGUAUUGCCUUGAAAAUAAAUAAUAUUGCUUUAAUAUGUAUUUGUAUUAC